rnacentral:rRNA from 1 species
UACCAGCCGCCGCGGUAAUACGGAGGGUGCAAGCGUUAAUCGGAAUUACUGGGCGUAAAGCGCGCGUAGGCGGUUAUUUAAGUCAGAUGUGAAAGCCCAGGGCUCAACCUUGGAACUGCAUUUGAAACUGGAUAACUUGAGUAUGGUAGAGGUAAGCGGAAUUUCCAGUGUAGCAGUGAAAUGCGUAGAGAUUGGAAGGAAUACCAAUGGCGAAGGCAGCUCUCUGGCUCGUCACUGACGCUGAGGUGCGAAAGCGUGGGUAGCAAACAGGAUUAGAUA